rnacentral:rRNA from 1 species
AUACGGAGGGUGCAAGCGUUAAUCGGAAUUACUGGGCGUAAAGCGUGCGCAGGCGGUUUGUUAAGUCAGAUGUGAGAGCCCCGGGCUCAACCUGGGAACUGCAUUUGAAACUGGCAAACUAGAGUGUUGUAGAGGGAAGUGGAAUUCCUCAUGUAGCGGUGGAAUGCGUAGAUAUGAGGAGGAACACCAGUGGCGAAGGCGACUUCCUGGACCAACACUGACGCUCAUGUACGAAAGCGUGGGUAGCAAACAGGAUUAGAAACCCUAGUAGUCC